rnacentral:rRNA from 1 species
GUGGGGAAUAUUGGACAAUGGGCGAAAGCCUGAUCCAGCCAUGCCGCGUGUGUGAAGAAGGCCUUCGGGUUGUAAAGCACUUUAAGCGAGGAGGAAGGUUCGUCACCUAAUACGUGACGGAAUUGACGUUACUCGCAGAAUAAGCACCGGCUAACUCUGUGCCAGCAGCCGCGGUAAUACAGAGGGUGCAAGCGUUAAUCGGAAUUACUGGGCGUAAAGCGCGCGUAGGCGGUUGUGUAAGUUGGAUGUGAAAUCCCCGGGCUUAACCUGGGCACUGCAUUCAAAACUGCACGGCUAGAGUAUUGGAGAGGAAGGUAGAAUUCCAGGUGUAGCGGUGAAAUGCGUAGAGAUCUGGAGGAAUACCGAUGGCGAAGGCAGCCUUCUGGCCAAAUACUGACGCUGAGGUGCGAAAGCAUGGGGAGCAAACAGGAUUAGAAACCCGUGUAGUCC